UUCCAAAGUGUUGAGUUCAGUCCAGGGUAACCUCCCCUGUUCUGGUAAUUAAACUUUGGGAAAGGAAAUAGUUGGAGAACAUCAAAGGAGAGAAGCUUGUGCUUUUCUGUCCAGUCUUUCCAUCCACAAAA
ensembl:snoRNA